rnacentral:misc_RNA from 1 species
AAAAUAGAUAUAUAAGAAAAGGAAGUUCUGGUAGCGUGGACAAGAGCUCAAUCUGUAGUUUACACAAAGAAGAUGCGAAAAAAGGAUAGAGUAAAAAUUUGAACUGCUAACCAGUCAUUCACUACACUUGAGCAUUCAGAAACCUGGGCUAAUUUACGUUGAAAUAUUGUGGUUCAGGGAGCUCAGUGAUCUAAUACCUUUCGAAAGGCUGUUUGCAACUCGACAUACAAAGGAAUGCACCUAAAGCACAAAUACAGAACCAUCACAACUACAUAUCUACAUCAUCUGCAGGUGAAGAUCAGCAUCCUGCUGCGCAAGCUCCACCAUCAUAGCUUCAUCAAAGAACUUGUUGAUGCUCACAUCUUCACUCAUUCCCUUUCUACGCCUUGUCUUCACCAUGAACUCACGAGCCAGAUGUUGGAUUGGAGCAGGCUCCAGUGGUCGUAGAACGAUGCUCUUGUCAAGAGGAUCCCCGGGGACAAUAGCCCAAUGAUCAAAUACUGAAAGACAAAACGCCUGCCCUUGGGUGUGAUACCUCAAGUCCGUUUCAAAACCAAAGGACUCGAUAACGGGUAAAAAUGCCUUGACAAUGUAGGCAGGGGUGCCAGGUUGAGGAACAUCAGCAGUAACGUGUCCACGCCUACGUGACAACACGGUGUAUAUAGCAGAGAGACAAUCCAUGGGCGUUUGGAUCUCCACAUAAUACACAGGUUCCAUAAGUCUGGGUGUUGCCAUAAGAAAAGCAGAGUAGGCUACACGUCGUGCAGUUGGAAUAAUCUGACCCGUUCCACGAUGCAACGGCUCCGGUGCAAUCUUCGCAUCAACGAUCUUGAAUUUAACAUUUCUAAUGGGCUCAUCGCAAAGGGGUCCUUCCCGAGCUCCCCAUUGGAACCCCUGAACAAUAGAAUCUUUAACAGCAUUCAACAAGCUCUUGUCCACUUCACUUGAGAGUGUAUCAUCCAAUAAGAUAUUAGGUCCCUGCUUAUCGGGUCCAAAUGCCCAAAUAGACCGUGCAGCAAGAAGAUCCCAGUCAUAUUUGGUUUGGAAAAAUUCACCUAGUUUCUUUCUAGGCCAAUCGAUGCUCACAACACCGUUCUCGAUGUCCUCAGCAAGCCCUCUCUCCAGAGGUUCAGCAAUCAUAGUGAUUUUAUUUUUCUUGUUAGGUGUUUCAGCAAAA